rnacentral:rRNA from 1 species
UACGAAGGGUGCAAACGUUGCUCGGAAUCAUUGGGCGUAAAGCGCACGUAGGCGGCUUGCCAAGUCGGAUGUGAAAGCCCUCGGCUCAACUGAGGAAGUGCACCCGAAACUGGCGAGCUUGAGUACGAAAGAGGAUCGCGGAAUUCCCGGUGUAGAGGUGAAAUUCGUAGAUAUCGGGGAGGAACACCGGUGGCGAAGGCGGCGAUCUGGGUCGAUACUGACGCUGAGGUGCGAAAGCGUGGGGAGCAAACAGG